rnacentral:rRNA from 1 species
UACGAAGGGGGCUAGCGUUGCUCGGAAUUACUGGGCGUAAAGCGCACGUAGGCGGCUUUGUAAGUCGGAUGUGAAAUCCCUCGGCUUAACCAAGGAAGUGCAUCCGAAACUACAGAGCUUGAGUACUUAAGAGGAUCGCGGAAUUCCCGGUGUAGAGGUGAAAUUCGUAGAUAUCGGGAGGAACACCAGUGGCGAAGGCGGCGAUCUGGGAAGAUACUGACGCUGAGGUGCGAAAGCGUGGGGAGCAAACAGG